rnacentral:ncRNA from 1 species
GUCAACAGUGAAGAGAUAAGUAAUAUCAUGAGCACACUAAGAGAAUCUAUGUUUGGUGAAAGUAGAUUGCGUGAUUAUAUGAAAAUGGUCUUGGAGAGAUACGCCAUGGUGAGCAUACGUUAAUGCGUUGUGAGCAAUGACCGGGUGUGCCCGUUAUAGCAACAAUAAUUCCUAUGUUUUAGUUUUUUUUAAAUCAUAGCGAUUGUAUGAGGUAUGUUUUUAAACAUACAAAUACCGGGUGGUAACACGAUAAGUCGUCCCGCAG